UUGAGGAGUCCGCGGCCUAUCAGCUUGUUGGUGAGGUAACGGCUCACCAAGGCUUUGACGGGUAGCUGGUCUGAGAGGACGACCAGCCACACUGGAACUGAGACACGGUCCAGACACCUACGGGUGGCAGCAGUCGAGAAUUUUUCUCAAUGGGGGAAACCCUGAAGGAGCGACGCCGCGUGGAGGAUGAAGGUCUUCGGGUUGUAAACUCCUGUCAUUUGGGAACAAUGCGCACGUAUUAACUGUACGGGCGUUGAUAGUACCAGAAGAGGAAGAGACGGCUAACUCUGUGCCAGCAGCCGCGGUAAUACAGAGGUCUCAAGCGUUGUUCGGAUUCAUUGGGCGUAAAGGGUGCGUAGGCGGCGCGGAAAGUCGGGUGUGAAAUUUCGGAGCUUAACUCCGAAACUGCAUUCGAUACUCCCGCGCUUGAGGACUGUAGAGGAGACUGGAAUUUACGGUGUAGCAGUGAAAUGCGUAGAGAUCGUACCGAAGACCAGUGGCUAAAGCGGGUCUCUAGACCGUUCCUGACGCUGAGGCAUCAAGGCCAGGGGAGCAAACGGGGAUUAGAU
rnacentral:rRNA from 1 species